AAAGUGUCAAAGCAACUACACUUUUACUAUAGCUUCAGAUAGGGGUAUUUUCUUUUCCUAAACAGGAUGGUCAAAGUGUAAACUGAAAUAAGAGACUGCGAAAAGGAAGUGGGAGCUCACUGUCGGGCCCCUAAAACAACCUAGCAAAGAGCACACUCUAGGCUUCCCCCACAGCUUUGCCCUUGGUGGCCUGGACACCACGAACAGAGGACUGUCUAUCUGUAACAUUUAAAAUGAAAAUAAGCAUCUUGUAAAAAUAUAUAUGGCAUACUCAUUUACAGACUUCUACCUUGCAUAGAGGCAUUUGGUUGAAAUUAAUUUGGCCUUCCAUCUGUGAAAUUAUUGUUUUCAAUGGGCUUGGUCAUAUGAUUAUUAAAUGGUGAUUUUAGUGCCAUCAUUCUUUAUUACAGUUUAAUA
rnacentral:lncRNA from 1 species